CAAAGUGUGCUAAAACAAAUUAUCAACUAAGAUUUUUAAUAAUACAUAUAAAUAUAUUAUGGAAAUUAAAAAAACUCCUUGAGUGUUAUAAUUUAUAAUUAUAACUAUGUUGUAAGAAGUAUCACGAUCCUAAGGGAAACCUUAAGGUAAAAAUUUAUUUAAUAUAAAUUUAUUCUAAACCUAAAAAUUUAGAAAGACCUAAAUAUUAUUACUUCCCGAACCAAAACAUUGUAGUAGGGAAAGGAAAGUAAAUCAACCGAGACUCCGAAAGUAAUGGCGAGUGAAAUCGGACUAGCCUAUCAAUAAUUAGAAUUUAAUAAAAUUAAAGUUGUAAAUUUAAAUUUCUACGGAAUUAGAAAAAUUUAAAAAAAGUUAUUUUAUAAUUUUAUUUAAAUACCAUAGAAGGUAACAGUCCUUUGAAUUUACCUAAUUAUUGUUAAUAAAGUACGACGAGAGAUAACUUGUCGGAAUACAGGGGAACCAUCCUCUAAGGCUAAGUAUUAUAAAUUUAGCGAUAGUGAAAUAAGUACUGUAAAGGAAAAUUCUUAAUAAAGCUUAUAAAAAUAAAACUGAAAAGUUCCUUAAGAAACAAUAUUUUUCUUAAGGGAUAGAAAGCUUUUUUUAUUUAUGAAUUAGUAGCUCUAUAAGCAGUCGAAAUUAAAUCUAAACUUAAACCUUUAGAUCAAUAACGACGUACCUUUUGCAUAAUGGGUCAGCAAGUUAAUAGUAGUAGCAAGGUUAAAAGCCCUAGCGAAAGCGAUUACGCCUAUUUAAAUAAUUUUUUAAUUAUUUAAGGCAGUAUUAUAGUUGCUAUUAUUAGAUCCGAAAUAAAGUGAUCUUACCAUGUCCAGAUUAUAAUGGAUCGAACGGGUGAAUGUUGCAUAAUUCUCCGAUGAGAUGUGGUAAGGGGUGAAAGGCCAAUCUGACUUUAAGAUAGCUGAUAUUCCACGAAACAUAUUUAAGUAUGACGUCUACUAAGAGAUUUUUGCAGGUACAGCGUGCUGAUGCCAUACAAUUGUAAAAAUGGGGGGCCUAAAAAUCCUAUCAUUGGUAGCUAAUCUCGGAAUUACAAUUAAUUGAUAGUAGAUAUUCAGACUGUUCAUGAAAAGGUGGACAGUCGAGACGAAAACAGUCGUGAGCACGAAUUUAAGGUCCCGAAAGAAUAUUUAAGUGAAAUAAAGGCAGUUAAUAUUUUAAAACAACUAUGAAGUGUGCUCGGUAGUGGCAGUUCUUUUAAAUAAUGUGUAACAACAAAGUAGUCUUUUCUUAUUUAAAAAAUAAGAUUUUAGAUAUUAGCACCGAAAAUUUAACGGGUCUAAAAUAUUUACCGAUAUCGUGCCGCUUUUUUAAUAUUAAAAUAAUAUUUAACAUUAAAAAAGUUGGGUAGUGGAACAUUCAGUACGGAAGAAGAACAGUGUUUCAUUGUUUAGACGUAACUGAAGAGAUAAUGCUGGCAUAAGUAGCGUAAAAAGAAGAUUUAAUUCUUCUCGCCGAAUACGAAAGGGUUGUUAUGGGAAAGGUUAAACCUCCCUACGUUAAUGCGGCCUCUAAGGACCAAGGCGAAUGUCUUGGCUGAUGAGUAUAUUUUAGAAAAUCCUUAUAAAAAAUAAGGAUCAGGAAAAAAAUAAAAUAUUUCUACCGUACCCUAAACCGACACAGGUUCGUAAGUUGAGAAUACUAAGGCGAAGAGAUAAGACUCGUUAAGGAACUCGGCAAGUUGUCCUCAUAAGUUUGACGAUAAGAGGAACCACUUUGUAAUAUAUUCUGAAAUGGAUAUAAAUACUCUGGUGGUGUCACAGAAUCGGAGGCCCCGACUGUUUACCUAAAACACAAACAUCUGCAACGAUUAAUUUAUUUGUAUAGGUGUUGAAAUUUGCCCGAUGCCAUUAAUAUAAAGGGAGUGACUAUAAUGUUACGAACUGAAGUUCUGGUUAAUAGCGGCCUUAACUAUGAGGGUCCUAAGGUAGCGAAAUUCAUUGGCCAUUAAAUGUGGUCCUGCAUCAAUAAUGUAACGAUGGUCUCACUGUCUCUACGAGUCACUCAGCGAAAUUGAAUUACCCGUGCAGAUGCGGGUUACCUUCAGAUAGACGGGAAGACCCUAUGCAGCUUUACUGUAGUUAGUUAUCAUGUUAUUUAUUUUAAGUUUGUAGAGUAAAAGGCCAGUCGAUAGACACAAUGUGAAACACCUUAACUUGGAAUAAAUAAUGUUAACCUAUUUUUUAUGUUUUUUAAUUAUAUUAAUUACAUAAAGGGGAGAUAUGGCUAAUUGGCAGUUUGUCUGGGGCGGACGUCUUUAAAAUAGUAACAAAGCACAUCCACUUAAAAUUUUAUCUUUUUAUUUAGAAAUAAGUUAGAAAGAAGAAUUUUGCUUAAAGGCAUGCAUUAAUUUGUUCGGAGAACAAAAUACCAUGUAAGGUAAAAUUAUGUGUAAUGGCAUAAGCAGGCCUAACUGGAAGACCUAUAAGUCGAUCAGAUACGUAAGUAGGGCAUAGUGACCCGGCGGUAUAUUAUGGAAUAGCCGCCGAUAAAUAGAUAAAAGUUACGCUAGGGAUAACAGGCUGAUAGUCCGCGAGAGUUCAUAUUGUCCGGACUGCUUGGCACCUCGAUGUCGACUCAUCCUAUCCUCCGGGGGAAGAAGCUUGGAAGGGUUCGGCUGUUCGCCGAUUA
rnacentral:rRNA from 1 species